rnacentral:tRNA from 1 species
GGAGUUGUGACUCAGUGGUAGAGCACUUGCCUAGCAUGUGUGAGGCUCUGAGUUCUAUUCUCAGCACCA